rnacentral:rRNA from 1 species
UACGUAGGGUGCAAGCGUUGUCCGGAAUUAUUGGGCGUAAAGAGCUCGUAGGCGGUCUGUCGCGUCGGCUGUGAAAUCCCGAGGCUCAACCUCGGGUCUGCAGUCGAUACGGGCAAACUGGAGUGUUGCAGGGGAGACUGGAAUUCCUGGUGUAGCGGUGAAAUGCGCAGAUAUCAGGAGGAACACCAGUGGCGAAGGCGGCACUCUGGGCCGGUACUGACGCUGAGACGCGAAAGCGUGGGGAGCGAACAGG